CAACCGCCACGGGAAUACGAAGGGUGCAAGCGUUACUCGGAAUUACUGGGCGUAAAGCGUGCGUAGGUGGUGGUUUAAGUCCGUUGUGAAAGCCCUGGGCUCAACCUGGGAAUUGCAGUGGAUACUGGGUCACUAGAGUGUGGUAGAGGAUAGUGGAAUUUCCGGUGUAGCAGUGAAAUGCGUAGAGAUCGGAAGGAACAUCUGUGGCGAAGGCGACUAUCUGGGCCAACACUGACACUGAGGCACGAAAGCGUGGGGAGCAAACAGGAUUAGAUACCCCUGUAGUCCCUGUCUCUUAUAC
rnacentral:rRNA from 1 species